rnacentral:rRNA from 1 species
GUAGGUGGCAAGCGUUGUCCGGAAUUAUUGGGCGUAAAGCGCGCGCAGGCGGUCCUUUAAGUCUGAUGUGAAAGCCCACGGCUCAACCGUGGAGGGUCAUUGGAAACUGGGGACUUGAGUACAGAAGAGGAAAGCGGAAUUCCAAGUGUAGCGGUGAAAUGCGUAGAGAUUUGGAGGAACACCAGUGGCGAAGGCGGCUUUCUGGUCUGUAACUGACGCUGAGGCGCGAAAGCGUGGGGAGCAAACAGGAUUAGAUACCCUGGUAGUCCACGCCGUAAACGAUGAGUGCUAAGUGUUAGGGGGUUUCCCGCCCCCCUUAGUGCUGCAGCUAACGCAUUAAGCACUCCGCCUGGGGAGUACGGCCGCAAGGCUG